rnacentral:lncRNA from 10 species
CCCCCGCCAUAUCCUGUAGAAACCAACAGCAGAAGAGGAAAUGCUUGUGGGUGAUGGAGAGGUGAAUCCCGCUCUUCUAACCCUGAACUCACCUCAUCUGGUGGGUGCCGGACUUUCUGUAGAUAUUUUUUUAGCACUUCCUCUGGGGUUUUACCUGCAGAGACAGGAGGUUCAGUGGGCCACCAAGGCAGAGGAUAUACCUGCUGGAUACCAGUUAUACCAGUUGUGACUAUUUUUACUUCAUUAUAAAGAUGAGAAAAUAGGGGCUCCAUGUGGUCACACAACUUGCAAGAAACAAAGGAUAAAUCAAACCAGGAUGGGAGGAUGGAGGAGAAAGCUGAAUACAAAACAAGGGCCACUGGGCCAAGAAAAGAAGAAUGGACUUGUUUCUGGACUCUGUGACCUGCUCCCCAGGGCCAGGCAUGGUAUGGUGGAUGGGCAGUCAGGAAAAUCAGGUGCAAGUCCCAUCCCUGCCAGGAGUUUCUCGCUAAGGUAGUUAACUUUUCUGAGCCUCAAUUUCCCCAUCUGUAAAACUGUGAGGGUCUUGGGUUAGAAGACGCUACGGAAACUGGCUGACAACUUCCCACCAAUAUCUGAGAAAAAAAUGGCCACCCAAGCCCUGAGUCCUCCACUUAUGGCCGAUUCUCCUCGCCCAGCUCUUUCUGGAGAGGUUUGGGGAAAAGACCCGGCUUCCUGUGUCCUGCUCCCAGCUCCCCAGCAGGGGGCAGCACUCAGAACCCAGACCUGCACCUACCUUCUCCCUCGCCAUCUUCAGAGCCCCCACUCCAGCUGAUAAGUAGCUGUGAUCUGGGUGACAAAAGCCACCUUUGUUCCCAUAAACUGGACUGGCAGGUUUCCACACCCAAUCUGGCCAACCAGGAAAUAAUCCAAUCCCCAGAACACCACACAUUUCAGGCAGCUCAAGAACUCAGGGGCAAGAUGUGGAGAGAGGGAGGGAAGGGCCCGCAUGUGGACCUGGGACACACAAGAAGACUAUGGGUUCAACAGGUGGGAGAGAUACAUGUCCCUGCCACUUGAGGAGAGGAAUGACAUGGCGGGUAGGCUUGUCACUGGGCUCUGGGAAGGAGGGGUCUGGGGAGAAGGGGUAUAUUUGCUUGUGAAAUCCAGAACCGUGUAAUGGAAGGAGCUCUGCACUGGAGUCAGGGAGUCUUUGUUUUAGCCCCGCUCAGCACUGACCUGCUUUGCCUUUGGGAGAGCCGCACAGCCUCUCUGCGUUCUGUUGACCAUAUCUAAGUUACCACAGCCGUGAACAGGGCAUCCUAAAUGUCUGCCCCAUGGGGUCCCUGUGAGGAUUUAGGAACUAGGUCAACUAACUGUAAACAGCUGAGCCCUGUGCAAGUUUGGGUGACUGUUUAUGCUUUUACCUCCCAAGUAUAAAAGGGGCAUUGGGCUGAAUAAAGACGUUUUCUGCUCUAAUAUUCCAAUUUUCUGAUUCUCGAGGUCAUGGGUAUCCAGCAUAAAGUUGAGUGCUGGGCAGUACUUGAGACGGUUGAUCUCACCUCCCCCACUAUUACUGGUUAAACCUUGGAGAACAGCCCAUGAAGUCCCAGCUGGUCACACCCUUUUGGGGCCUCAGCUUCAAAAGCCUGAGCUCUCCUAGAAAACUGCAACCCAAUGGCAGGCAUGCAUCUCACAUCCUUCAGGCAACUCCAUCAGCCAAAACUGUCUGUCCUAACCACUGCUUGGCCAAUCAUAAGACACCCCCUG